AUGAACGCUAGCUACAGGCUUAACACAUGCAAGUCGAGGGGCAGCAUGGUCUUAGCUUGCUAAGGCCGAUGGCGACCGGCGCACGGGUGAGUAACACGUAUCCAACCUGCCGUCUACUCUUGGACAGCCUUCUGAAAGGAAGAUUAAUACAAGAUGGCAUCAUGAGUCCGCAUGUUCACAUGAUUAAAGGUAUUCCGGUAGACGAUGGGGAUGCGUUCCAUUAGAUAGUAGGCGGGGUAACGGCCCACCUAGUCUUCGAUGGAUAGGGGUUCUGAGAGGAAGGUCCCCCACAUUGGAACUGAGACACGGUCCAAACUCCUACGGGAGGCAGCAGUGAGGAAUAUUGGUCAAUGGGCGAGAGCCUGAACCAGCCAAGUAGCGUGAAGGAUGACUGCCCUAUGGGUUGUAAACUUCUUUUAUAAAGGAAUAAAGUCGGGUAUGGAUACCCGUUUGCAUGUACUUUAUGAAUAAGGAUCGGCUAACUCCGUGCCAGCAGCCGCGGUAAUACGGAGGAUCCGAGCGUUAUCCGGAUUUAUUGGGUUUAAAGGGAGCGUAGAUGGAUGUUUAAGUCAGUUGUGAAAGUUUGCGGCUCAACCGUAAAAUUGCAGUUGAUACUGGAUAUCUUGAGUGCAGUUGAGGCAGGCGGAAUUCGUGGUGUAGCGGUGAAAUGCUUAGAUAUCACGAAGAACUCCGAUUGCGAAGGCAGCCUGCUAAGCUGCAACUGACAUUGAGGCUCGAAAGUGUGGGUAUCAAACAGGAUUAGAUACCCUGGUAGUCCACACGGUAAACGAUGAAUACUCGCUGUUUGCGAUAUACUGCAAGCGGCCAAGCGAAAGCGUUAAGUAUUCCACCUGGGGAGUACGCCGGCAACGGUGAAACUCAAAGGAAUUGACGGGGGCCCGCACAAGCGGAGGAACAUGUGGUUUAAUUCGAUGAUACGCGAGGAACCUUACCCGGGCUUAAAUUGCAGAUGAAUUACGGUGAAAGCCGUAAGCCGCAAGGCAUCUGUGAAGGUGCUGCAUGGUUGUCGUCAGCUCGUGUCGUGAGAUGUUGGGUUAAGUCCCGCAACGAGCGCAACCCCUAUUUCCAGUAGCCAGCAGUAAGAUGGGCACUCUGGAGAGACUGCCGGGGAUAACCCGGAGGAAGGUGGGGAUGACGUCAAAUCAGCACGGCCCUUACGUCCGGGGCUACACACGUGUUACAAUGGGGGGUACAGAGGGCCGCUACCACGCGAGUGGAUGCCAAUCCCCAAAACCUCUCUCAGUUCGGACUGGAGUCUGCAACCCGACUCCACGAAGCUGGAUUCGCUAGUAAUCGCGCAUCAGCCACGGCGCGGUGAAUACGUUCCCGGGCCUUGUACACACCGCCCGUCACACCAUGAGAGCCGGGGGGACCCGAAGUCGGUAGUCUAACCGCAAGGAGGACGCCGCCGAAGGUAAAACUGGUGAUUGGGGUG
rnacentral:rRNA from 1 species